ACUCCUACGGGAGGCAGCAGUAGGGAAUUUCCGCAAUGGACGAAAGUCUGACGGAGCAAUGCCGCGUGAGUGAUGAAGGUUUUCGAAUCGUAAAAGCUCUGUUGUAAGGGAAGAAUAGCAAGGAUAGGAAAUGAUCCUUGUCUGACGGUACCUUACCAGAAAGCCACGGCUAACUACGUGCCAGCAGCCGCGGUAAUACGUAGGUGGCAAGCGUUAUCCGGAAUUAUUGGGCGUAAAGCGCAUGUAGGCGGCUUUUUUAAGUCUGGUGUGAAAGCCUGUGGCUCAACCACAGAAUUGCAUUGGAUACUGGAAAGCUAGAAUCUGUAGAGGUAAGUGGAAUUCUAUGUGUAGCGGUGGAAGUAGCGUAGAUA
rnacentral:rRNA from 1 species